AGAGUUUGAUCCUGGCUCAGGACGAACGCUGGCGGCGUGCUUAACACAUGCAAGUCGAACGGAAAGGCCCUUCGGGGUACUCGAGUGGCGAACGGGUGAGUAACACGUGGGUGAUCUGCCCUGCACUUUGGGAUAAGCCUGGGAAACUGGGUCUAAUACCGAAUAGGACCACGCGCUUCAUGGUGUGUGGUGGAAAGCUUUUGCGGUGUGGGAUGGGCCCGCGGCCUAUCAGCUUGUUGGUGGGGUAAUGGCCUACCAAGGCGACGACGGGUAGCCGGCCUGAGAGGGUGACCGGCCACACUGGGACUGAGAUACGGCCCAGACUCCUACGGGAGGCAGCAGUGGGGAAUAUUGCACAAUGGGCGCAAGCCUGAUGCAGCGACGCCGCGUGAGGGAUGACGGCCUUCGGGUUGUAAACCUCUUUCAGUAGGGACGAAGCGAAAGUGACGGUACCUACAGAAGAAGGACCGGCCAACUACGUGCCAGCAGCCGCGGUAAUACGUAGGGUCCGAGCGUUGUCCGGAAUUACUGGGCGUAAAGAGCUCGUAGGUGGUUUGUCGCGUUGUUCGUGAAAACUCACAGCUUAACUGUGGGCGUGCGGGCGAUACGGGCAGACUAGAGUACUGCAGGGGAGACUGGAAUUCCUGGUGUAGCGGUGGAAUGCGCAGAUAUCAGGAGGAACACCGGUGGCGAAGGCGGGUCUCUGGGCAGUAACUGACGCUGAGGAGCGAAAGCGUGGGUAGCGAACAGGAUUAGAUACCCUGGUAGUCCAA
rnacentral:rRNA from 1 species